rnacentral:rRNA from 1 species
ACUUUACAAUGCCGGCAACGGCGAUAAGGGGACCUCGAGUGCCAGGUUACAAAUCUGGCUGUCGUGAUGCCUAAAAAGCAUUGCAUAGCAAGGGCCGGGCAAGACCGGUGCCAGCCGCCGCGGUAACACCGGCGGCUCGAGUGGUAACCGUGAUUAUUGGGUCUAAAGGGUCCGUAGCCGGUUUGGUCAGUCCUCCGGGAAAUCUGAUAGCUCAACUAUUAGGCUUUCGGGGGAUACUGCCAGACUUGGAACCGGGAGAGGUAAGAGGUACUACAGGGGUAGGAGUGAAAUCUUGUAAUCCCUGUGAGACCACCUGUGGCGAAGGCGUCUUACCAGAACGGGUUCGACGGUGAGGGACGAAAGCUGGGGGCACGAACCGGAUUAGAUACCCGGUAGU